rnacentral:tRNA from 1 species
CCGACGAUAGCUCAGUUGGUAGAGCGGAGGACUGUAGAUGUUUGCAGCAAUCCUUAGGUCGGUGGUUCGAAUCCGCCUCGUCGGA